UCUACAUUUAAAAGGCUGCAUCUGGCCACUAAAAGACCAGACCUUCAGUCAACAGGACCAGACGUUAAUCCCGUAAAGCUUGGCAGAGGGACACCCAAACACAUGGCAAAGGAUGUUACCUCAGGAAUGGGGCUCAGGGUUGGCGCUAACUGGAGGAGCUGCCCAGGUGGGCAGGACCGCCUACUCCUCCCUUGCCUGGUACCACAGCCCAUGAUGUCUGGUCACUUGAGCGAAAAGAGGUGUUUGCGAACCAUGACUGACAAAACCACCUCGGGGAUUAAAACUUUACCGCGUUGGUUGCGCGCCCUUCGGCAGCGUGGCUCCAUGGCUCCGCGGCCUUCCCGCCCUGCGCGCCCCCUCCUCAGCCCCAACGGCGGCCGCGGG
ensembl:lncRNA